GAUGAACGCUGGCGGCGUGCCUAAUACAUGCAAGUCGAGCGAACAGACGAGGAGCUUGCUCCUCUGACGUUAGCGGCGGACGGGUGAGUAACACGUGGAUAACCUACCUAUAAGACUGGGAUAACUUCGGGAAACCGGAGCUAAUACCGGAUAAUAUAUUGAACCGCAUGGUUCAAUAGUGAAAGACGGUUUUGCUGUCACUUAUAGAUGUAUCCGCGCGGCAUUGGCUAGUUGGUAGGGUAACGCCUUACCAAGGCGACGAUGCGUAGCCGACCUGAGCGGCGGGUCGGCGACACUGGAACGGGACCAGGGUCCAUAGUCCUAAGGGAGGCAGCAGAAGGGAAUCUGCCGCAGUGGGCGAGAGCCUGACGGAGCAGCGCCGAGUGAGUGAUGAAGGUCUUCGGAUCGUAAAGCUCUGUUAUUAGGGAAGAACAAAUGUGUGAGUAACUAUACACGUCGUGACGGUACCUAAUCAGAAAGCCACGGCUAACUACGUG
rnacentral:rRNA from 1 species